GCGGCUGUCGUAUAGUGGUUAGUACAUCACGUUGUGGCCGUGAAAACUUGAGUUCGAUUCUCAACAGCCGCA
rfam:Eutypa lata TCREL1 unplaced genomic scaffold EL1_03_scaffold_634, whole genome shotgun sequence.